rnacentral:rRNA from 1 species
AUUGAACGCUGGCGGCAGGCCUAACACAUGCAAGUCGAGCGGUAGAGAGGAGCUUGCUCCUCUUGAGAGCGGCGGACGGGUGAGUAAUGCCUAGGAAUCUGCCUGGUAGUGGGGGAUAACGUUCGGAAACGGACGCUAAUACCGCAUACGUCCUACGGGAGAAAGCAGGGGACCUUCGGGCCUUGCGCUAUCAGAUGAGCCUAGGUCGGAUUAGCUAGUUGGUGAGGUAAUGGCUCACCAAGGCGACGAUCCGUAACUGGUCUGAGAGGAUGAUCAGUCACACUGGAACUGAGACACGGUCCAGACUCCUACGGGAGGCAGCAGUGGGGAAUAUUGGACAAUGGGCGAAAGCCUGAUCCAGCCAUGCCGCGUGUGUGAAGAAGGUCUUCGGAUUGUAAAGCACUUUAAGUUGGGAGGAAGGGCAGUAAAUUAAUACUUUGCUGUUUUGACGUUACCGACAGAAUAAGCACCGGCUAACUCUGUGCCAGCAGCCGCGGUAAUACAGAGGGUGCAAGCGUUAAUCGGAAUUACUGGGCGUAAAGCGCGCGUAGGUGGUUUGUUAAGUUGGAUGUGAAAUCCCCGGGCUCAACCUGGGAACUGCAUUCAAAACUGACUGACUAGAGUAUGGUAGAGGGUGGUGGAAUUUCCUGUGUAGCGGUGAAAUGCGUAGAUAUAGGAAGGAACACCAGUGGCGAAGGCGACCACCUGGACUAAUACUGACACUGAGGAGCGAAAGCGUGGGAGCAAACAGGAUUAGAUACCCUGGUAGUCCACGCCGUAAACGAUGUCAACUAGCCGUUGGAAGCCUUGAGCUUUUAGUGGCGCAGCUAACGCAUUAAGUUGGCCGCCUGGGGAGUACGGCCGCAAGGUUAAAACUCAAAUGAAUUGACGGGGGCCCGCACAAGCGGUGGAGCAUGUGGUUUAAUUCGAAGCAACGCGAAGAACCUUACCAGGCCUUGACAUCCAAUGAACUUUCUAGAGAUAGAUUGGUGCCUUCGGGAGCAUUGAGACAGGUGCUGCAUGGCUGUCGUCAGCUCGUGUCGUGAGAUGUUGGGUUAAGUCCCGUAACGAGCGCAACCCUUGUCCUUAGUUACCAGCACGUAAUGGUGGGCACUCUAAGGAGACUGCCGGUGACAAACCGGAGGAAGGUGGGGAUGACGUCAAGUCAUCAUGGCCCUUACGGCCUGGGCUACACACGUGCUACAAUGGUCGGUACAGAGGGUUGCCAAGCCGCGAGGUGGAGCUAAUCCCACAAAACCGAUCGUAGUCCGGAUCGCAGUCUGCAACUCGACUGCGUGAAGUCGGAAUCGCUAGUAAUCGCGAAUCAGAAUGUCGCGGUGAAUACGUUCCCGGGCCU